rnacentral:lncRNA from 1 species
UGGGGUUUUUGGGGACACUGGGGACAUUUGGGGACAUUUGGGGUCAUUUAUUUGGGGCCAUUUGGGACCAUUUGGGUGGGUUUGGGGGACAUUUAGGGUGGUUUUGGGGCCAUUUUGGGUGUUUGGGGGGCCAUUUUGGGUGCUUUUGGGGCCAUUUUGGGUGCUUUUGGGGGAUAUUUUGGGAUUUUGGGUUUUUGGGACCAUUUUGGGGCCAUUUUGGGGCCAUUUGGGACCAUUUGGGUGGGUUUGGGGGACAUUUAGGGUGGUUUUGGGGCCAUUUUGGGUGUUUGGGGGGCCAUUUUGGGUGCUUUUGGGGCCAUUUUGGGUGCUUUUGGGGGAUAUUUUGGGAUUUNNNNNNNNNNGACACUGGGGACAUUUGGGGCCAUUUGGGGCCAUUUUGGUGGUUUUGGGGGGACAUUUGGUGGGUUUGGGGGCCAUUUUGGGUGCUUUUGGGGUUAUAUUUUGGGAUUUGGGGUUUUUGGGACCAUUUUGGGGUCAUUUUGGGGCCAUUUGGGACCAUUUGGGUGGGUUUGGGGGACAUUUAGGGUGGUUUGGGGGCCAUUUUGGGUGGUUUUGGGGCCAUUUUGGGUGGUUUUAGGGCCAUUUUGGGUGCUUUUGGGCUUAUAUUUUGGGAUUUUGGGUUUUUGGGACCAUUUUGGGGCAAUUUUGGGGCAAUUUGGGACCAUCCUUGCCCUCCUUCCCCCGCAGGUCCCCCCAGAAGAAGACGCGGCCACCCCGCGGCCCCCGGUGACGUCCCCGCGUCCCCCCCGGGCCACCAAACGUCCCCAAAUUUCCCCAAAUCCCCCCUUGGGGGCCCCAAAACCACCCAAAAAGCCCCGGCUGGCCCCGGGGGGCCGCUGUCCCCAAACGUCCCCAAAUUCGUGUCCCCAAAUGUCCCAAACGACCCCAAAUUCGUGUCCCCAAACGUCCCCAAAUUCGUGUCCCCAAAUGUCCCCAAAUUCGUGUCCCCAAACGUCCCAAAAGUCCCGAACCUCAAUGUCCCCAAAUUCGUGUCCCCAAAUGUCCCAAACGACCCCAAAUUCGUGUCCCCAAACGUCCCCAAAUUCGUGUCCCCAAAUGUCCCCAAAUUCGUGUCCCCAAAUGUCCCAAACGACCCCAAAUUCAUGUCCCCAAACCUCGAGGACCUCCGAUUUGUCCCCGUGUCCCCAAAUGUCCCCAAAUUUGUGUCCCCAAACCUCCUCGAGGUCCUCAAACCCCUCCCCAUGUCCCCAAAUGUCCCAAAUGUCCCCAAAUUUGUGUCCCCAAACCUCCUGGAGGUCCUCCAAGCCAUGUUCUCAACGGUUGAGGGCCUCCAACCCAACCUCGUGUCCCCAAAUGUCCCCAAAUUCGUGUCCCCAAACCUCCUUGAGGUCCUCCAACCCAUCCCAACCUCCUCCAACCUUCUCGAGGUCUUCCAAGCCAUGUUCUCAACGCUUGAGGUCCUCCAACCCAUCCCGACCUCCUCCAACCUCCUUGACCUCCACCCCAUGUCCUCAACCCUCCUUGAGGUCCUCCAACUCUUCUCCUCCAACCUCUUUGAGGUCCUCCAACUCAUCCUCAUGUCCUCCAACCUCCUCGAUCUCCUCCACCUCUUCUCCUCCAACCUCCUUGAGGUCCUCCAACCCAUCCCCACCUCCUCCAACCUCCUCCAACUCUUCUCCUCCAACCUCUUCGAGGUCCUCCAAGCCAUGUUCUCAAAGGUUGAGGUCCUCCAACCCAUCCCAACCUCCUCCAACCUCCUCAACCUCCUCCACCCC